rnacentral:lncRNA from 1 species
ACAAGCUAAGAGAUACAAAGGGAAAAGUGUGACUGCUCUGACAGCAAAAAACAAGCAAGUAUCUCCAGAGGGGAUUAAUCCUUCUGCUUCAAAGUAACUAAAACAAAGAAAGCUGAGCCAGCUUCACUGGAAACAACACCUGUCCAUCAGACAAGGAUGAGCUAAU